CAAGACUGAAGGCAAUAGAAGCCCAAGUCCACCCAAUCCUACAGCUGUCACAAAAAGAAGCAAGCUGCAGAAUGAGGUAGCUAUGUCGCUUUCUCCAGUACAAUUCAGAAGACCAUGCAGCCUUCAGUUAUGUCCACACCUUAGGAUGCUGAAGAGGGAAGCAUCUGCUCUUUGCCUGCUCGCCCUCGUUUUCACUGGAAGUUCAUUCCCUCACUGGCAUUAGAGCCUACUUCUGGAUUCUGAAUAUACUGAAGAACAGCAGAGACAUCCAGCCUCCAGGACUGAAUAACUACUGGAUUCUUGGACUUUCUUUCCAUCAGGAGAUAGCCAUUGUUGAACUCGCCAGAUCACAGCCUGAAAGCCACUCUAAUAAAUCUAAUAAUAAAGA
rnacentral:lncRNA from 1 species